rnacentral:rRNA from 1 species
UACAGAGGGUGCGAGCGUUGUCCGGAAUUACUGGGCGUAAAGGGCGCGUAGGCGGCUUGAUAAGCGUGCGGUGAAAGCCCGGGGCUCAACCCCGGGUCGGCCGUGCGAACUGUCGAGCUGGAGCACUGUAGAGGCAGGUGGAAUUCCGGGUGUAGCGGUGGAAUGCGUAGAGAUCCGGAAGAACACCGGUGGCGAAGGCGGCCUGCUGGGCAGUGGCUGACGCUGAGGCGCGACAGCGUGGGGAGCAAACAGG